rnacentral:rRNA from 1 species
UACGGAGGGUGCGAGCGUUGUCCGGAAUUACUGGGCGUAAAGCGUGCGUAGGUGGUUGUUUAAGUCUGUUGUGAAAGCCCUGGGCUCAACCUGGGAAUUGCAGUGGAUACUGGGCGACUAGAGUGUGGUAGAGGGUAGUGGAAUUCCCGGUGUAGCAGCGAAAUGCGUAGAGAUCGGGAGGAACAUCCAUGGCGAAGGCAGCUACCUGGACCAACACUGACACUGAGGCACGGAAAGCGUGGGGAGCAAACAGG